UAAGGCCGAAGCUUGCAAGCAAAGAUGACAAGGGCAUAGGCGAGCUUCUCCGGCCUUGGGUACCAAAGCUCAACAUCUUCCAAGGCAUGGCUGGUGCAGAAGAAGAGGAUGUUUGAUACCUUCGGGCUUACGAAUCAGCACAAAGAUGAAUGCCAUUGUCGAGACCGAAAGGUCACGAACAGGUGUUAGGAGGUGGAAGGCUUGGCGGCUACCAUUUGCUUCCCCAUGUCACGACCACUAGGCUUGGGUACACUCUUGAGCGACUGCUCCUGCCGAUGAUGCAUGAUCUGUUCAAGGCCAUUCCGCA
rnacentral:lncRNA from 1 species